rnacentral:rRNA from 1 species
UACGUGGGGGGCAAGCGUUGUUCGGAAUUACUGGGCGUAAAGGGCGCGUAGGCGGCCUACUAAGUCGGACGUGAAAUCCCUCGGCUCAACCGAGGAACUGCGUCCGAUACUGGCAGGCUGGAAUCCGGGAGAGGGAUGUGGAAUUCCAGGUGUAGCGGUGAAAUGCGUAGAUAUCUGGAGGAACACCGGUGGCGAAGGCGGCAGCCUGGGCCGGUAUUGACGCUGAGGCGCGAAAGCUAGGGGAGCAAACGGG